rnacentral:rRNA from 1 species
GACGAACGCUGGCGGCGUGCCUAAUACAUGCAAGUUGAGCGCUGAAGGUUGGUACUUGUACCAACUGGAUGAGCAGCGAACGGGUGAGUAACGCGUGGGGAAUCUGCCUUUGAGCGGGGGACAACAUUUGGAAACGAAUGCUAAUACCGCAUAAAAACUUUAAACACAAGUUUUAAGUUUGAAAGAUGCAAUUGCAUCACUCAAAGAUGAUCCCGCGUUGUAUUAGCUAGUUGGUGAGGUAAAGGCUCACCAAGGCGAUGAUACAUAGCCGACCUGAGAGGGUGAUCGGCCACAUUGGGAAUGAGACACGGCCCCAACCCCCACGGGAGGCAGCAGUAGGGAAACUUCGGCAAUGGGCGAAAGGCUGACCGCGGAAAGCCGCGGGAGGGAAGAAGGGUUUCGGAGCGUAAAACUCUGUUGGUAGAGAAGGAAGAUGGGCAGAGUGGAAAGCUCAUGAAGUGACGGUAACUACCGAGAAAGCGACGGCUAACUACGUG